ACCUCGGUUGUCUAAAGGCUUAGGACGCUCGCACGAUAUGCAAGAGAUCCGGGUUCAAGUCCCGGCUGAGGUA
rnacentral:tRNA from 1 species